UACGGAGGAUGCAAGCGUUAUCCGGAAUUAUUGGGCGUAAAGCGUCCGCAGGUGGACAUACAAGUCUGCUGUCAAAGUGCAGAGCUUAACUCUGUAAAGGCGGUGGAAACUGUAGGUCUUGAGUAUGGUAGGGGUAGAGGGAAUUCCCGGUGUAGCGGUGAAAUGCGUAGAUAUCGGGAAGAACACCAGUGGCGAAAGCGGUCUACUGGGCCAUAACUGACACUGAGGGACGAAAGCUAGGGGAGCGAAUGGG
rnacentral:rRNA from 1 species